UUCAGACUUGCAUGCACGUUAAAGCAACAACAAAAACCCUAAUAGUUCUGUCUCCUUAAUUUUCCUUUCUCUUUGAGUUUUCUCUCAACCAUGAAAACUGAACUAAGAGCAAACGCUACUACGCCAAUUCCUCUUCAAAACUCUCGUCUUUUCAACAAUCCUGAAAGUUCUCUCUCAGGUGCUCUUAAAGGGUGUCUUGGUAG
rnacentral:misc_RNA from 1 species